GCCUGGGUGGCUCAGUCAGUUAAGCAUCUGACUUUGGCUCAGAUCAUGAUCUCACGAUUUGUGGGUUAGAGCCCCAUGUUGGGCU
rfam:Felis catus isolate Cinnamon breed Abyssinian chromosome A1, whole genome shotgun sequence.